rnacentral:ncRNA from 1 species
GGUUAAGUUAGAAAGGGCGCACGGUGGAUGCCUUGGCACUAGGAGCCGAUGAAGGACGGGACGAACACCGAUAUGCUUCGGGGAGCUGUAAGCAAGCUUUGAUCCGGAGAUUUCCGAAUGGGGAAACCCACCACUCGUAAUGGAGUGGUAUCCAUAUCUGAAUUCAUAGGAUAUGAGAAGGCAGACCCGGGGAACUGAAACAUCUAAGUACCCGGAGGAAGAGAAAGCAAAUGCGAUUCCCUGAGUAGCGGCGAGCGAAACGGGAUUAGCCCAAACCAAGAGGCUUGCCUCUUGGGGUUGUAGGACACUCUGUACGGAGUUACAAAGGAACGAGGUAGAUGAAGAGGUCUGGAAAGGCCCGCCAUAGGAGGUAACAGCCCUGUAGUCAAAACUUCGUUCUCUCCUGAGUGGAUCCUGAGUACGGCGGAACACGUGAAAUUCCGUCGGAAUCCGGGAGGACCAUCUCCCAAGGCUAAAUACUCCCUAGUGACCGAUAGUGAACCAGUACCGUGAGGGAAAGGUGAAAAGCACCCCGGAAGGGGAGUGAAAGAGAUCCUGAAACCGUGUGCCUACAAGUAGUCAGAGCCCGUUAACGGGUGAUGGCGUGCCUUUUGUAGAAUGAACCGGCGAGUUACGAUCCCGUGCAAGGUUAAGCAGAAGAUGCGGAGCCGCAGCGAAAGCGAGUCUGAAUAGGGCGCAUGAGUACGUGGUCGUAGACCCGAAACCAGGUGAUCUACCCAUGUCCAGGGUGAAGUUCAGGUAACACUGAAUGGAGGCCCGAACCCACGCACGUUGAAAAGUGCGGGGAUGAGGUGUGGGUAGGGGUGAAAUGCCAAUCGAACCUGGAGAUAGCUGGUUCUCUCCGAAAUAGCUUUAGGGCUAGCCUCAAGGUAAGAGUCUUGGAGGUAGAGCACUGAUUGGACUAGGGGCCCCUACCGGGUUACCGAAUUCAGUCAAACUCCGAAUGCCAAUGACUUAUCC